rnacentral:rRNA from 1 species
GACGAACGCUGGCGGCGUGCUUAGCACAUGCAAGUCGAACGGAAAGGCCCUGCUUUUGUGGGGUGCUCGAGUGGCGAACGGGUGAGUAACACGUGAGUAACCUGCCCUUGACUUUGGGAUAACUUCAGGAAACUGGGGCUAAUACCGGAUAGGAGCUCCUGCUGCAUGGUGGGGGUUGGAAAGUUUCGGCGGUUGGGGAUGGACUCGCGGCUUAUCAGCUUGUUGGUGGGGUAGUGGCUUACCAAGGCUUUGACGGGUAGCCGGCCUGAGAGGGUGACCGGCCACAUUGGGACUGAGAUACGGCCCAGACUCCUACGGGAGGCAGCAGUGGGGAAUAUUGCACAAUGGGCGGAAGCCUGAUGCAGCAACGCCGCGUGCGGGAUGACGGCCUUCGGGUUGUAAACCGCUUUCGCCUGUGACGAAGCGUGAGUGACGGUAAUGGGUAAAGAAGCACCGGCUAACUACGUGCCAGCAGCCGCGGUGAUACGUAGGGUGCGAGCGUUGUCCGGAUUUAUUGGGCGUAAAGGGCUCGUAGGUGGUUGAUCGCGUCGGAAGUGUAAUCUUGGGGCUUAACCCUGAGCGUGCUUUCGAUACGGGUUGACUUGAGGAAGGUAGGGGAGAAUGGAAUUCCUGGUGGAGCGGUGGAAUGCGCAGAUAUCAGGAGGAACACCAGUGGCGAAGGCGGUUCUCUGGGCCUUUCCUGACGCUGAGGAGCGAAAGCGUGGGGAGCGAACAGGCUUAGAUACCCUGGUAGUCCACGCUGUAAACGGUGGGUACUAGGUGUGGGGUCCAUUCCACGGGUUCCGUGCCGUAGCUAACGCUUUAAGUACCCCGCCUGGGGAGUACGGCCGCAAGGCUAAAACUCAAAGGAAUUGACGGGGCCCCGCACAAGCGGCGGAGCAUGCGGAUUAAUUCGAUGCAACGCGUAGAACCUUACCUGGGUUUGACAUGGAUCGGGAGUGCUCAGAGAUGGGUGUGCCUCUUUUGGGGUCGGUUCACAGGUGGUGCAUGGCUGUCGUCAGCUCGUGUCGUGAGAUGUUGGGUUAAGUCCCGCAACGAGCGCAACCCUUGUUCACUGUUGCCAGCACGUUAUGGUGGGGACUCAGUGGAGACCGCCGGGGUCAACUCGGAGGAAGGUGGGGAUGACGUCAAGUCAUCAUGCCCCUUAUGUCCAGGGCUUCACGCAUGCUACAAUGGCUGGUACAGAGAGUGGCGAGCCUGUGAGGGUGAGCGAAUCUCGGAAAGCCGGUCUCAGUUCGGAUUGGGGUCUGCAACUCGACCUCAUGAAGUCGGAGUCGCUAGUAAUCGCAGAUCAGCAACGCUGCGGUGAAUACGUUCCUGGGGCU